rnacentral:tRNA from 1 species
UAAAUGAAGCCAAACAGAGGCUUAUCACUGUUAAUGAUAGAAUUGGACUAAAUCCCAUUUAG